AUAUUAAUUUAAUUGCUGCUAUAAGCUUUAUUAAUCAAUCAUUUAGUAUAUUUUUUGCGGCAAUUAUAAUUAAUUGUAGCGGCAUUUAUAAUAGUUGUUAUUGUAUAUUAUUUAGCGGCAUUUAUAAUAGUUGUUAUUGCAUACUAUUUAGCGGCAUUUAUAAUAGUCGUUAUUGUAUAAUAUUUAGCGGCAUUUAUUUGGAUUUUUACCAACCGCCGAAAUAAAUGCCGCUAAAACUUUUAGCGACCCUGCCAAUAGCAGCAAUUGUUAAAAUUGCCACAAAAUAUUUUAGCGGCAAUUGAAAUUGCCGCUAAUUUAAAAAAUAAUCGCCGCUAAAAAGUAAUUUUGUUGU
rnacentral:lncRNA from 1 species